rnacentral:lncRNA from 1 species
UGAUGCCCCAGAAGUGACCAGAGAAGAACUGAAAAAUGCAUUACUGGCUGCUCAGGACAGUGCGGCUGUCCAGAUUCUCUUAGAGAUUUGUUUGCCUACUGAAGAGGAAAAGGCAAAGGCUGCCAAUUCAGACAUCUCCCUCAGGAACACUCAGGGUGUCAUUACCAUUGGCACCCCAAAUAAAGACACAGAAGAAGGAGAAGACAGUUUGCUUUGCAACCUUCGAGAAGUUCAGUGCCUUAUCUGUUGCCUGUUGCACCAAAUGUACAUUGCUGAUCCCAACAUUGCUAAACUUGUUCACUUUCAGGGCUAUCCAUGUGAACUUCUGCCUCUAACAGUCGCAGGGAUCCCAUCUAUGCACAUCUGUUUGGACUUCAUACCGGAGCUUAUUGCCCAGCCGGAACUUGAAAAACAGGUA